rnacentral:rRNA from 1 species
UACAGAGGUCCCGAGCGUUGUUCGGAUUCGACUGGGCGUAAAGGGUGCGCAGGUGGGUUUGCAAGUUUGAUGUGAAAGCCCCGGGCUCAAACCCGGGAAGUGCAUUCGAUACUGCUUAGCUUGAAUGUUGGAGAGGGUAGUAGAAUUCCAGGUGUAGUGGUGAAAUACGUAGAUAUCUGGAGGAAUACCGGAUGGCGAAGGCGGCUACCUGCCAAACAUUGACGCUGAGAGACGAAAGUGGCGGGGGAGUCAAAACAGGAUUAGACUAC